UACGAAGGGGGCUAGCGUUGUUCGGAAUCACUGGGCGUAAAGGGCGCGUAGGCGGCUAGAUAAGUCGGGGGUGAAAGCCUGUGGCUCAACCACAGAAUUGCCUUCGAUACUGUAUGGCUUGAGACCGGAAGAGGUUAGUGGAACUGCGAGUGUAGAGGUGAAAUUCGUAGAUAUUCGCAAGAACACCAGUGGCGAAGGCGGCUGACUGGUCCGGAUCUGACGCUGGGGCGCGAAAGCGUGGGGAGCAAACAGG
rnacentral:rRNA from 1 species